rnacentral:lncRNA from 1 species
UUUGAUUUAGGUUGCAAAUGGAUGGAAAUUGUGGAAUUGGGAAGAAAAGAGCGAAAACUGACCAAAAUGGAGAAAGUGAAAGUUCAGGGAUCAAGUUGCAAGUAAUCCAUAGAUGAGAUGGACGAUGGAAUGAAGAUUCAAGAGUGUUAGGGUCAAUCGGAUGAGGAAUGAAGUUAAAGAGCUAAAAUAUAGUCGAAAUAUUAUCACAUAUAAACUUUCAGGCGAAAAAGUUAUGCUUCAGAUUUUUAGUCUCUAGUUGAGACCCAUUUUUGGCAUAGUAAACGUCCGAAUUAGAAAAAGUCUAUUUCUAGAAAAAUUGUAGAUCUUUACGUUCUCUUUUCAACACACUUUAAUCUCCUCAAUCGAACAUAGAAACAGAAAAUUAUGGCCAAAAUAUUGAAAACUGUUCGGCGGAGAAAAAUGCUAGAGCCAUGCAACCACACAGCACUAAAGCCAUGUGG